CAACUUUCCUUUAUCUGGUGAAUAGCCCCGAGAAAUCGGGAUUAAUACACCAUAGCAUCUUGGAGUGACAUCACUUUGAGAUUAAAGCUCAGGCGGAUAAAGAUGGGUGUGCGUCUGAUUAGCUAGUUGGUUGAGGUAACGGCUCACCAAGGCGACGAUCAGUAACUGGUGUGAGAGCACGACCAGUCACACGGGCACUGAGAUACGGGCCCG
rnacentral:rRNA from 1 species